UUGAAUAAAUCUGAUGUGGCUGUUAGCUGGCUUUUCGAAGCAUGUGCUCGCCUGUCAUCUUUAUCUCUCCACCUGUGCACCUUUUGUAGUCUUGGAUACCUCUCGAGGCAACUCGGAUUUUGGGAUUGCGUCAGCUUUCCUUGCAUUUCCAAGACUAUGUUUUUAUAUACACCAAAGCAUGUUUAAAGAAUGUCAUCAAUAGGAACUUGUUUCCUAUAAAAACUAUA
rnacentral:misc_RNA from 1 species